UACGGAGGGUGCAAGCGUUAUCCGGAUUUACUGGGUUUAAAGGGUGCGUAGGCGGGCAUGUAAGUCAGGGGUGAAAGACCGGAGCUUAACUUCGGAACUGCCAUUGAUACUAUAUGGCUUGAAUAUUGUGGAGGUAAGCGGAAUAUGUCAUGUAGCGGUGAAAUGCAUAGAUAUGACAUAGAACACCGAUUGCGGAGGCAGCUUGCUACGCAAAUACUGACGCUGAGGCACGAAAGCGUGGGGAGCAAACAGG
rnacentral:rRNA from 1 species